AAAAACCCUGAACUUAGUGCUUUUGGAACUUCUGCGCUUUUAAUUUUUGUGGAAUAAGCUCUUUGUUAUGCUCUAGGCUUUCAGGGAGCAGAAAUUAAGUCGUGGACUUAAUUUCUUUUUAAUGAACUUGGUGACAGAAAGAAACUUUCACAGGGCUCAGUAGAGUCGCUCCUUCCCGAGCCACAGGGCUUGGCGGAGGGGACAGGAGGACAGAGUCAGGCAGAGAAAGGCUGCUGCCCACCGCAGCCUCCUGGCCUGGAGAUGGCAGGAAGCAGGUGGAGGGGCAGUAAAUCAAGGUGACAGAGAGGGGCAGGACCCAGACACAGGACAGAGAACAAAAAGGCCGUUAAAAGAGCAUUCAAGGGGAGGUUGGUGACCAAGGGUAAAACUCAAGCUCCAGGAUCUUCAGUUUUUCUGUUUUUUUUUUUUUUAUCACCAAUGCAUUCUGGGGCACAGAAACAUGCUUUCUGUAUGAAUGAUGAAACUAUUUUUAGAAGGCUUUGAAACCAAGAUUUCGCACAAAGCAAAGUUCUUAGUAGAAAGUAAGGACCUUCUGGAGAAUGGAGAAAUGGGAGGGCGCCUAUACUGCGGGAAGUAUUGCCCGCCAGUUUGUUAGCAAGUUACAUACUGUGGAAUCCUGACUUUCGGUUUAAUGCUGAGCGAUUAGGUGAGUCUCUGUGCUUCCUUUUCAGGAGAGGACACAGUACACACUGUUUUUGGAGAUCUUGAAAAUCUAUCUUAGUCCUGGGAGUGGGGAAAUUGGUCUGAAGAACUCAGGUGGCUGCCGUCAGCUCUAAAGGACGAUGAGAGGAGACUGUGUGGAUUGUGGCCCGGGAGACUCAGGGUACCUGGGUUUCCUCUUCCACUCCAGGCUUCGUUCUGAGAAUACACCUCAGUUAUGGAGCCACUUGACAGAACUGGUGAAACUCUAGAAAACACCCUGUGUUACUGGCUAAGAGAAUGUGUGUGGGGAAUUUCAGAGAAGAGAGCAAACAGAGGAAGAGAUCCCCACUCCUGUGCAUGAAUUCACACACAUGUCAGACUCACCCCUAAGCUGAACCUGUGUGGGUCAGACCCCAGCCAGUGCAGCAUCAGCUCUGAGACCUAACUGAAACUGACAGAUCCUCACGGAAGAUGAGACUGAAUGUAAAACGUGUACCUAAGUGGGCUGACUGUCUCCUAUGAUGGAAUAUCGACACUCCUCAGGUAAUUAUAAUAGGACUCAUAGUCUAUAAAGCAUACCAUGAAAAAGUCCAGCCUAUUAUCCACAAUACAAAUACAAAACACAAACCAACAACAGAGAAAUGUAACCAGUUCCCGAAGGAAGGGACAAUGAACCAAUGCCAAAAGCAAGAAGAUUCAGGUGUUGAGCUACUAGGCAGAAACUUUAAAGAAGUUAUUAUGCCUGUGACCUACAAGAGGAGGGAAAAUAAACAUUUCAGCAGAAACUAGAAAGUACAAAAGAGAAGCAAGUGCAUAUUUUAGUACUGAAAAUUUAAUAUGUGAAAUAAAUAUGUAGCAGAGUUGGCUCUGCAGCAGGGUGAAGAUUAAAAAAGGAGAGAAUCAGUAAACUUGAAGAUUAAUAAAACUGUUGAGACUGAAGAACAGAGAAUAGAAUAGAUUGAAAGAAACAAACAGAAAUUCAGGCACUCAUGGGACUACGUAACUAAGUCCAAUAGACAAAGAGUGGAGUUCUAAAAGAGAGGACAAAUAUUGAGACAAAAAUUGAAUAAACUAUAACCAAAUCCCAAGUAAUAAAAGGCAAAAUUAAAUAAAAAAUCAAACUCAGCAAGACUAAACCAAA